AUUAGUAAGCGGAGGAAAAGAAACUAACCAGGAUUCCCCUAGUAGCUGCGAGCGAACAGGGAAAAGCCCAGCACUGAAUCCCGCGUUCGGAAACGAUCGCCGGGAAAUGUGGUGUUAGGGAGGAUCCGUUAUCCCGUGGAUGUGCGGUGCGUAUAAGUCCUUCUUGAACGGGGUCACCGCCCAAAGGGGGUGCCAGUCCCGUAACUACUGCCGCCUUCUACGGGAGGAUCUCUCCUCAGAGUCGGGUUGCUUGAGAGUGCAGCCCUAAGUGGGUGGUAAACUCCAUCUAAGGCUAAAUAGAACCACGAGACCGAUAGCGAACAAGUACCGUGAGGGAAAGUUGAAAAGAACUUUGCAGAGAGAGUUCAAUAGUACGUGAAACCGUUCAGGGGUAAACCUGAGAAACCCGAAAGGUCGAAAGGGGAGAUUCAGCGCGGAUCAGGUGACGGUGCCGGUCGUACGUGUGACGAACGAUGUUCGCAUCGCGAGCUCCGUAUUUCCGUUCUUGCCGUUUCUGAACGCGUGCACUUCUCCCCGAGUAGGACGUCGCGACCCGUUGGGCGUCGGUCUAAGGAUCGCGGUGGAGUCCGUGCGGUCGGUUUGCCGUUCCGCUCGAACCCGUGACUCCCGGCCGACACGCUCGACGGUAUAUCUAAGGCGUCGGGCCGCUUAUUUAUUUAGCGUUCGUACCUGGGCAAGCACGUUCGUUGUUUCGGUGCUCGGACUUUGUGCCGGUCCCGUUCGCGGACUGCUGUUCGCCUAGGUUUUCUCGAACGGACCCGUAUUUUGAAACGCCGCUCAGCGACGCCGUUGCUUUGGGUAAUUUCAGGACCCGU
rnacentral:rRNA from 1 species